CGGAGGAUCCAAGCGUUAUCCGGAAUCAUUGGGUUUAAAGGGUCCGUAGGCGGGUUUAUAAGUCAGUGGUGAAAGCCCAUCGCUCAACGAUGGAACGGCCAUUGAUACUGUAGAUCUUGAAUUAUUAGGAAGUAACUAGAAUAUGUAGUGUAGCGGUGAAAUGCUUAGAGAUUACAUGGAAUACCAAUUGCGAGGGCAGGUUACUACUAAUGGAUUGACGCUGAUGGACGAAAGCGUGGGUAGCGAACAGGAUUAGAUACCCUGGUAGUCCACGCCGUAAACGAUGGAUACUAGCUGUUCGGAGCAAUCUGAGUGGCUAAGCGAAAGUGAUAAGUAUCCCACCUGGGGAGUACGUUCGCAAGAAUG
rnacentral:rRNA from 1 species